rnacentral:rRNA from 1 species
GACGUAGGGCGCGAGCGUUGUCCGGAAUUAUUGGGCGUAAAGAGCUCGUAGGCGGUCUGUCGCGUCGGCUGUGAAAACUCGGGGCUCAACUCCGAGCUUGCAGUCGAUACGGGGCAGGCUAGAGUUCGGCAGGGGGAGACUGGAAUUCCUGGUGUAGCGGUGAAAUGCGCAGAUAUCAGGAGGAACACCAAUGGCGAAGGCAGCUCGCUGGGACGGUACUGACGCUGAGACGCGAAAAGCGUGGGGGAGCGAAACAGG